UAUACGUAAGCGUUAACAGCACGAGAAGUUUUGAUCUUCUAAGAAUUGGUGAAAUUCCAUUAUGUAUAA
rnacentral:tRNA from 1 species